rnacentral:rRNA from 1 species
AGUGAACGCUGGCGGUAGGCCUAACACAUGCAAGUCGAACGGCAGCACAGGAGAGCUUGCUCUCUGGGUGGCGAGUGGCGGACGGGUGAGGAAUACAUCGGAAUCCACUCUGUCGUGGGGGAUAACGUAGGGAAACUUACGCUAAUACCGCAUACGACCUACGGGUGAAAGCAGGGGAUCUUCGGACCUUGCGCGAUUGAAUGAGCCGAUGUCGGAUUAGCUAGUUGGCGGGGUAAAGGCCCACCAAGGCGAGGAUCCGUAGCUGGUCUGGGAGGAUGAUCAGCGAACCGGGAACUGAGACACGGUCCAGACUCCUACGGGAGGCAGCAGUGGGGAAUAUUGGACAAUGGGCGCAAGCCUGAUCCAGCCAUACCGCGUGGGUGAAGAAGGCCUUCGGGUUGUAAAGCCCUUUUGUUGGGAAAGAAAUCCAGCUGGCUAAUACCCGGUUGGGAUGACGGUACCCAAAGAAUAAGCACCGGCUAACUUCGUGCCAGCCGCCGCCGUAA